GGAAAUAGAAGUGUUUCUAAGCGCCCAAACCCUCUCUCUUCAUCGGUCUCCCUUUUGUUCGAUCCCGGUCUUUCUAGUCUCUAUUUUGCGGGUUCUCUACGACCGAAGCUUCCUCAUCCCCGUCGGCAUGGGAAUCAAGGUUAGGGUUUUGUUUUUCCUCUGUCCCUGUAGUUGUCUCUUAGCUUCUUCCCCGCGUGAUGGGGUCCCCCGUCUCCUGCUCUUUACCUGCUGGACGAAGCUCCUCGCGGACAACGCCCCCAAGGCCAUGAAGGACCAGAAGUUCGAGAGCUGUUUCGGCCGGAAGAUCGCGUUAUGUAUUUGAUGGUCAGCCACCGGAAUUGAAGAAACAAGAACUUGCCAAAAGAUACUCAAAGAGAGAAGAUGCUACCGAGGAUCUGAAUGCAGCAAUCGAGGCUGGUGACACAGGGAAUUGAAAAGUAUAGCAAAAGGACAGUGAAGGUUGUUUUUGAUGUUUCUAGUUUGCAGUAGAUUAUAUGCCUUGAAGGUCCAGAAUCAAAGUGCAUGUGAGGCCCAAUAUUAUGGUGGCUCUGCGUUAUGACGUGCCCUUUAGUUCUAUUCACGGGUAGGAUUUUCCUAUUCAAGUAUUUUACCUAUCCAAUAUUAGGUCGGAUUUGAUAUCAAUUUUCAUGAUUAGAUUCAAUGAGAUAACUUUACAUAUCUAUUGAAAUUGAGUCACUGAUCCAAAAUGCUUAAGCCUAAUAUAAUAGUAAUACACUUAUCUGAUUCGUAUAAAUCAAUUCAUAAUUUUACGUAUUCUUAUGUGGAAUUAAACUUAGAAUGUUAUAGUAUUUCCUUUGCUCAAGCUUACCAUAGAGUUUCCAACACAUAUCUCAAGUAUAUCUUGGGUUUGUGCAAUAGUCAUGUCACAAUUUUCUUUUUUCGUCCAUGGAUUGUUUCCUUGUAGCAUGCAAAAAAAAUUUUGAGAUUGCCAAGGUUAAGUUUUCUCAGAUUGAAUUCUUAUACAGACGAGCUUAACUUCCUACCUUCUUCUUCACGAACUAAGAAAAAUAUUUCUUUAAUAGAUGGGAGAAGGCCUCUGCCCAGGACUCUUUCACAAACUUCAUUAAACUUGGGAUUAAGGCCCAACCAGAAAAUUAAAAAUUCAUGUUCAUUCAAUCAUAUCUUUAAGCUUCUUUCUUUCAUUUUGAUACCCAGACAGAGAUCUAGUCCUAACCAAAGUCCCUUCAGAAUAGCAUAGUAGUUGGUAACUGGUUAGUUACCUUAUUUAGUGGACAAUCUGCCUCUUCAAUUCAUAUUAUUGGUUAGCAGCACACUUGGAGUAGGUUUAUGUGACUGCAUCCCAUGUCCUUUCUAUUUUCCAGCAGGAGAUUGUCUUGCUUAUCUCAUGUUGCAUGAAGUGCAAUAGCCAGGACAUCACCAUUGAACUUUUACAUCUGAGAUUUCAAAUUUUGGAUCAGAUUUCUCAGGUGCAGAAGAAGUGCCAAGAGAAUAACUCCAUUUAAUUCUAAAGUAUUUAUUUGUACGGUGGUAUUUUCAGAUGACUAUGUGUCCUGGAUUUGGUGUCGAGUUGGUCGAGGUGACUAUUUUUUAUGUUGCAAACAUGCUUAAAAGAUUGGAAGGUUUGAAGAUGAAGAUUUAGAAAUGGCAAUGAAAGUCGAAACAAUGAUCAGCAAAGAAAGGACUGACCAGAAAUGUUGAUCAAGAAAUAAGGCUGACCAGGAAUUGGAUCUGAACCAGAAAACUCGAAUGCUCUGAUACCAUGUAGAACGAGUAAUUGCAUUGGUUACUUCAUCAUGAAUGAACUUAUAAAUUUAUAAGAAGGAUUGAAGUCCCUAAUAGUUAAAAUCCAAUUAUCGUGUUACUGUUAUAAUUUAUUAGGAAUACAUAUUUGGAGUAUAUGAAGAUGGAGGAGGCCCACCAUAUUUGGAGUUUGCCAUAGGUUUUAUCAAGGUUCGUCAUAUUGUGGCAUACCACUCGGUACAAGCGGUGUGUAUUGGUUUGACAGGGGAUGGUAUGAGCGGUGUAUCGGUAUGCCCUCAUAUAUCAUAUGUCGAUAUGUUUGGUAUGGUUCGGUACAGCUUGAUACAUAUCGUAUCGAUAGCUGGUCGGUACAUCGGUACGGAUCGAUAACGUAAAUCAUGAUUUUUAUGAUCUCUCAACUGUACAAUCAUGCACUUCCAAUUGCAGUUACCAAAUACUUGAGGAAUGGCCAUAUCAAGAAGCUUGUCGCCUGUUCAAAGAACCCAAUGUGAUUAUGGAAAUUCCAGAGCUGAUUUGGACUGCUCCAGAUGAGGAAGUAACUAAAAGGGAAGUUGGUGCUUAUGAUCCACACAUUAGGUGUCUUGAGACAAACUGACUGGGAUUUCUGUUUCUCAUACUUAUGGUCUCACGUGCUUUCUGGUGAAUGAAAAUGGUUUCAACAAUGAUCGAGUUACAAAGACAUGCAUCCUGUUCAGUUUGUUGAUUCCACCACUCUAUGAAUUAGUUUUCGUCAAGAGUCCUGAGCUAUUUGGUAUUUGCAUAUUUUCUAGGAAAUUGAAAAUAUUAUAGCCGCCAAGAAUAAGUCUUCCCAAGGGCGGCUAGAGUCCUUUUUUAAGCCUGUUGUUAAUGCAUCUGCACCUCCUAAAGGAAAGGAGAUUGAAGAAGUAGCAAAAGGAACAUCUACAAACUACAAGUCUAAAUCUGGAGGUGCAAAGAAAUGAUUGGAAAGCAAUAUCAGCACUCAAAACAUUGCAAUGAAGUUGCAUGGGUCAUAGAAAGAUAAACUUCGCCAUGUUGCUCGAGCCUUAUACGAGGCUAUCACCAUCCUCUAGGUGAGCUAGCAGUCGCUUGAGGAUCUGGAUCUCAACCUUAUGUCUCAGGACAUGGAUCUUCGCAUCGUCUUCAGCCAUCGAGAAGCAUAGGAAGAAGGUUGCAAUGUACCUUGCUUUGUAAACGUCUCAGGAGCAGGUCAUUUGAGAAUAGGGGAGAAUUUGCCUUCCUUGGAAGUUCAAGCCUUGGGGCCUCGGCUUACACAUUCGGGAUGCUUGAAGAGGAAAGGAGGGCCUUGGCACAAAACCUAUUUAAUAAGUGUCGGUCGGGCCCUUUACUCAGUCAUUAUUAUUGAGUUCGUGUCGAAGGGUAGAUGAAGCGCCACCCUCGGUCCGAGCGAGUGAAUGGGCUCCUUUGCCUUUUACGAGAGGGAAGUUUUCUUGAACUAUUAAAUCCUCCCACUUUGGGAGGGAGUCGGUGAGGCAACCAACAAUAGCAACAACAACCACUAUCUAGCGGACCAAGGCCCUCGUCCUUGGCUCGCUCGAGCGAUCCGUUGCUCGUUAGUGGAUGUUAACCACGAAGUUGGAGGUUUAGGCUCUUCUUCUAGUGCUAGUUGAUAAGUCAUCAUGUGUCAUCAUUGGUGUAAGUAUGAGGGCUUGCGAGAAAUUGCUCGCUUUGGGUGAGUUGCAUAGUUUUGCUCUUUCGGGAUGAGCUCCAAUAUGGGCCUUUAGAGGAUGACUUCGGCAUUUAUAAGGUCUUUAUUUUCUUACUCCUUAAUUAAUGUGAAUUAAAUAUAUUUAUCAGUAACCUUAACCUCAAUAGGAGAGUUGAGGUUGUUAGUGUAUAUUAUGGUUGUUUGAUUAGGAUAUCGAUUUGGAGCUAAUUGAGU